rnacentral:lncRNA from 1 species
AACAAUAAAAUAAACGAAGUGGAAAUAAAGUGGUCCGUUGGCUUUGUUAGGACCUUCAUACUCCCCAGAUUGCAACCCAGUUGAUCAGAGGGGAGCCUCUUCUCACUCUUCCAAAAUUUCACCCUUCUGUUUCCUUUUUCCUCUCAAAAGAUCUAUUGCCAUUCCUCGGAGUGGACCCUUUUGGCCAUUUCUUGAGUCAGUUAGCCUCGUUGGCUGUCCGAUCUUCUCUCCUCCUCCAUUUUUCCCACGGCGAACUCCGGCACUUCCCCUACCAGGUAAGCUUGCUCCCUUAAUUUUAAUCCUCCCAUCGCUAAAACAUGCGCUUGGUCGUUCCUCUCCCUUGUGUGGGAGAACAAACGGGUUGGAAAUCAUCUUUUAACGAUUUUACAUUUUCAAUGAAAGCACUUAUAUAUAAUAGGCUAUAUUUUGUUUUCUUUAAUUUUUGCAGUUAUAUUUUGAAAUUGUAUAAUUUGCCAUUCAAUUAUUAGUGUGAUUGAAUUUUACCACUAAACUUUAAUUUUUUUUAAAAGAAUUUCCAUAAACUUUGAUUUUUAGUUAAAAAUUUAGCACUUAAUAUUAAUUUUGAUGAAAAAAAAUUGAACUUUAACUACUAAUCAAAAGUUACUUAAAGUUCAUACUUUUAUGUAUUAUAGAUAGAUAAGUCAUAAAUAUUUAAUUUAAUCAAGUUACAUAUUCAACUUUAACUACUAAUAAAUUAAGCCAUUUAUACUAACAUUGUAACACUCUCGACUCGAUUUGAUUGGUUGGAUCCAGAUCUUAGGUAUUAUCAAGUUAAUACAAAUAAAAACUCAAUCUACUUUUACAAAUUACGAUCACUUACGUCUUACUUAAUCACAAAAUUUCUAAUUUGAAUAGAUAAACAUGUACAAGUAAAUAUAAUUACAUCACGUGGUAAUUAAAAUACAACAAUAUUUAAUUUGAAACUCUAAUACAAUACAGAUGCCCCAAAUAGGGACUUCUAAGUAAUAAUUCAGUCUUGGAAUACAUCGCCAAUCUUGCUCUGUAUACACAAUAACCUGAUAUUUCACUUUUAGGGAUAGUCCUAACAUCGUCCCUCUUGACGUAGACUUACGUCAUCUCACUUAUAACAUAAUACAUACAGAUAAGUUUAUAAGAAUUUAGUAAGGAAAAUAUAAUUUACAUGAGUCAUAUUUGCACAUUGCAAUUGAUAGUUUAGAUAGAUGAUACCAUCGUCCUUAAACAUUCAACUUUGUCUCUGAUGAAUACUUCCUCAAGUUUUGUUUCCAUAUUCACAUCAGAUAUCAUACCUUACUUUGAAAUCACUUCUUCUUAUCGAAGUAUUCAAUACAUCAUUUACUUCUUUCAAUCAAAACAAUCAUAAAUCUUUAUCCAUUUUCUUUUCAGAGAUCAAUACAAUCAGUAACAACAUUACGCUUGCAAACUUACUUCUGAGCCAUCAAAUCAUCACAAUUCAAAAGAAUGUGUGCACAGACGAUAGAUACCUCCUUCAAACAUACAAAUUUUACAGUCUUAUUUUUAGACGAGUCAUAGCCUUAUAUAACUCGUUUUUACUGUACUAACCAUAUAGACAUAAAACCUUUCUAAUCUUACUGAUUUCACUUAAGAGUCAUGUUGAAUGCGCCUAAUCGAUUUAUUAUAGAACCUGCCACAAGAACAUUCUUUCCGAUAUGUCACCAAGGACUUUAUUUUGACGUAUCAUAUGGACAUUUCUUUCAGAGUUCGUCAUGAAUGAUACUUUUUCAUAUUGCGCUACGAAGGCGCUCCUUUAGGGUUUGCCAUAAGGGUAUUUUCUUCCUAAUGUGUUUGUGAUAUGAAUUUGCCUAGACUCACAUUUCGUGAGAUUUGCUUGUCAUUAUCCUAAGACAUGCAGAAAAAAUCCAUUAGGCUAUAGCCAUGACCAUGGACUUUCCAUUCAGGGUUCUUAUUUAAAGUCCCGGCGAACCCUUUUGAACAUCACCGCGAUGAACAGACAUAAACUCUUCAUGCCCUUAUACAAUUUAAACCUAACCUUUUAUUCCACCAACAUAUAACCACAUACAUUCCCGACUCAUAAUACAAAUUCUAGGCAUACAUAUAACCAUACCUCAGCAUUACAUUAUUUAAUCACCAUUCAUCAUAUGCUUGAACUUAUCAUAUUCCAUACCAAUUAUACAUGCCAUCCUCAAUGAACAAUCAUACAUUCAUAGAUCUCAUUUAGUAAUUACUCAUAUAGUUACAUACAUAUCAUAUCGUACCUUUCGUGAUCUCGGCUUCAUAUUUCAUUUAGUAUGCCACAGAUCUAUUUGCAUGAAUAGUACAUAUGCAAAAGUCAGCAAAGAGGCUCACCUGACAAUCUCACAUAGCAGCUUAAAUUCUAGAUCCAACAAGAGAUUACAAUAACCACUACUUAUAAAACAAAAGAACACCAUUAAAACUCGUUUUAACCUCUACCGUCAUCUUAAACCUAGAUAACCCACAUAUAAAGCCUUACUUCUUUAUUUAACUAUUCAUGCACUUAUUCAAACUUAAUCUUUCAUAACUUUAACAUGUAGAGUUACAAUAUUUACCUUGACAUGUAGUAGUCACUAACAAAAAUCUAGAUUUACAACUCCAAUUUAUAGGAGAAAAAAAUACUUUCUGGUUUCUCCAGUAUCAGAUAACAAUACUUUAGAAGAAAGAAGGAAAAUUUUUUCUUUCUCUACCCUUAAUAUCGACAUAUUUAACCUAAGUCCUUAUUGGAACUUGACAUGUGUCACAACUCGUAAGAUUGUUUUUAUAAAUGGCUUACAGUUGUAGAGAGAACCUAAAUAAAAAUCCAAUAAAUUAUAUAUUUGGUUCUUCGGUUCUAUCCAUUUCUAUCCAAAUGGUUUUUAACGUAACUGGCACAGUAACUCAAUGAACUUGGCAUAUAAUACCUUCGACAAUAACUCCAACUUACAAAAUUCUCAAUACUCUUACCAAACUCCCUUUCCUUACAGCACAACACAUUCUAAGUUCGAUCCGUAUAUAAUAUUCCAAUAUCUGCUAUGCACUCAAAUUGUACACCAAAACAAUAAUUGGGCAGAUAGGCUACGCCUCACAAAUUACUCUCAGUCUACUCGCCAGAACUUAAAACCCAUCAAAACUAGGUGUUACAAACGCCGUCGAGUUAUUUUAAUGGAAAAAUUGAGUUAUCACUUCUAUUUAGCAAUUUUUUUCAAAUAAGCAAAUAAUAUAUAUUGUUAUUUUAAAUAAAUUUGUCUAAGCUUUUUUCCAAACAUAAAUUACUAGAGAAAUAAAAUUUAGUUUUGCAAUUCUGUAAGAAUGAAACCUUAAUCAAUUGAAUCAAUUUUUUUGAAUUUUUUUCUCAUUCUUCAUCAUUCAUUUUCAACCAUUAAAGAUUUGCAAUUGUUCCUUUAAACUUUCAUAAUCGAUCAUGGAGGUUUUUAUUCCUUGAUAUAGAGGUAGGGAUCAACAUUGAAAAGUCCUCGAGUUGCAGAUUUGACGUAGGGCUUUAGACUAAAUUGAAGGGAAUUGGCAUGUAAGCAACCUAAAACACAUAAGAAAUGUAACAACUCGAUAGGCAGGGGUGUUGAAAAGUGUAUAUCCGGGACUCUGUUCAUGUAAACCAGACUCGAAGUUAAUUAUUUAGUUAAUUAAAUUUUGGAUAGAUAAUUUACAUGAAUUAGGAGCUAUUAUGGUUUAAGGACUAAAUUGCGUAAAAGUAAAAAAUUCAAUUAUAAAUUGAAAUAAACUAAAGGGGCUAAAGUAAUAAUUAUGUAAUUUAAUAAAUGGUUGUGUAUAGGUGCCCGGUCAAGGGUUAAGUGUAAUGUGCUUUUAUAUAUUAUAUAUAUGUUAUAUAUUAAGUUAGAAUAAUAAUAGUAAUAAAUAAAAUGAAAACAAAAUUAAAAGAAAAAAGUGAAGUAGAAUGAGAGAGCACAUGCAAAUUAAAAGAAAAGAAAAGAAAGAACCAAAAGAGGCCGACGAUACUAAGGGCUUCAAACUUUCAAAUUUUAAUUGGUUAGUCAAUUUAGCCCCAUUUUCUUAUAAUUUUCAUAUUUUUGGAAUCACAGUACCUAGGUUCUAAUUUUUAGUAUUGUUUAAGAUUUUAGAUGUUGCUAUUGUUGAAUAGUUUAAGUAUUAGGAAUUAAAUAGAUAGAUUUUUAAGCUAGAAGUGGAAAAUGACUAAAUUGUGAAAUUAAUAGUUGAUUUUGAGUAAUAGGGACUAAAUUGAGAAAAUUUUGAAAUUGAAGGGUUGAAUUAGAAAAUGAGCUAAAUUUAGUUUAAAGUGAAAUUAGUAUAAAAAUAUAAAGUUAAAUGUGAAGGUUAAAAAUUAGUCUCGAUUUAGGGACUAAAUUGAAGUUUAAGCAAAUAAAGUGUAAAAUUUUAAUUUUAAUGUAAAAUUAAAUUAUGUAAUAUUAAUAUAUUUUAAUUGUUUUAUUCCGUAGCUAACGUCGUACCGGAAUCCUUGAGUAAAAAGGAGAAGGAUAAAAUUGACGUCGAAUAGCUCAGAAUUUACGGUUUGUGUGUUCUAUAAUCCUAAUUAAAUAACAGAUUGUUGUAUAAUUAAUUGUUUGCAUAUGGUAAGCAUUUGUGGUGGGUACUUUGGUACUUUUGGAUUAAAUUGAAUUCAUAGUAAAUUUGAAAGGGAUUCAUUUUGUGUAUUAUGAAAUAUGUUGAUUAUAUGAAUAUUGAAUUGACUAUAUGUGAUAGUGUAUAUAUGUGAAACUGAGACAUUAGUUGUAUUGAAAAGUGAAAUAAAACUCUAUUAACUGUAUCGGGCUGAGUUGGAUAUAGAUGGCAUGCCAUAGGAUAGGAAGAGUUCAAGGAUUUCUCUUAAGUCGAUGAGGCACUGGGUGCCAAUUUACUUUGGUUUAACUGAUGAGACAUUGGAUGUCAAUUUAUAUAGCACUGGGUACAGUUAUUAUUUUGGAAUUAACUAGACACUAGGUGCCAAAUUGGUGUGUUGGUUGGAUCUGUGUAUCUAUCCGAGUCUGAGUCAUGUUAAUAGGGAAAAUUAAAUAAUAAAUUUAUAUGUUUGAUAUUGAGAUGACCAUGUUGAGAAAUGAAUAUGAGAUGAGAAAAAGAAAUAUGAAAUAAUGAAAUGUGAUGUGAAUCUUGAAAUGAAUUCAAGUAUCAAAAUGAUUAAUCAUGCCAUUGAAUGAGUUGGACUACUAAAUGCUAUAUAUAUGAAAUAUCACUGAUAUGUGCUUGAACAUAUGAAAUAUUAUUACCAUGUGCUAAAUUUUGUGAACUCUAUUGAAUGUGAAUAAAGAAUGAGUAAGUUGGCAUUAUUGAUUUGAUACAUAUGUUUUAUAACAUUACUUAUUGCAUUUUUAUAUCUUAUCUAUCCAUAUCAAGUUUAAAUUAUUCGGAUUAUAGAAAUACCACUAAGUUAUACUCAGUGUGCGGUUUUGUUUUCUGUACGCAAGCUAGGUACUUUUCAACAUAUCGCAGACUCAGCAUCAAACAAUAAAUCCCGAGCUCAAGUGUGGUUAUAUCUUAUUUUGAAAUGGCAUGUACCGAGGAAGUCUUUGGUUGAUAGUUGGUUUGUCAAUGUCAUGUUAUUUUGUUUUAAGGUGAAUUGAUGGUUACUUAUAUAAUUGUGGUUUAAGCUAUGUUUUUGUAUGUAGUCUAAUUAAUGUGUUGGUAUGUGUUGUAGUUUAAAACUUGGUAGCCUAAGUAGUUAAAGGUUAGUUCAAUAUUAGUUAAUUUGAUAUGAAUGAAAGUCUUUGAAUGGUUGAUGUGUUUGAUGAUAUAAAAUGUAGCACCAAUGAGGGUACAUUGGCUAGACACUUAAGGUGGUUUAUUUGGUUUGUUUUAAGCAUGCUUAAUCGUGUUUUGAACAAGUUAAAUGACUGUUAAUUAAGUUUCUUAGUGUCUAAGUAAGUAGGAAAUGGUAAACUUGAGUUUUAAGGUACUUAUAGGUGCAUAUGGCCUAAACACGGUCUGUCACACGAUCGUGUUGAAAAAUAGUAUAGGUGUAGUUUCCACACGGGCUGACACACGGCUUGGGACACGGUUGUGUAACCCAAGUCAGUGAGUUACACAGGCAGAAACACGGGCUGGGACACAACCAUGUGUUUCAAGUUAGUGAGUUACAUGGACUAGGACACAGCCCGUGUCUCAACUUCGAGAGCCACACGGUCUGGGGCAUUUUACACGGCUGUGUGUCCCCUUUUUUAAGUAUUUUCAAAAAUUUCCUAAACUUUCAGAAUUGAUCCAAAUUAGUCCCUACUUAUUUUUAGACUAUUCUUAAGGUCUCGUAGACUCGAUACAAGGACUGUAAGAGUAAUUUUUACUUUGAAUUGGAAUGAAUUAGUAAACCUGAAUUAAGUGCAUUAUACUAAUAUCAUCGAAGGUAAUAAUAGCCGUAAUAUGGACCAAUACUCUGAUGCUAAUAAUUAGAAUUGUCUUAUUAUGUAUCCGACUUCUAGCAUUCAAGAAGGGAUAAAUAGUGAUAAGAGUGUAGACAGUGAAAGACCAAAUUUAGCAUUGCAUAGUAUGAUAUACUAUUCGAUUAUAUAAGACACUACUAUGCAUUUAGAUUGACAUGAUCUACCCUUGUAUAUUAUGGCGACAUUAGUUAGCUUAUACUACUACUUGUGAUGUAACUAAAUGUUUUGAUUGGUUAGUAAUGUAACAUCCCGAAUUAGGGCCUAGUCGGAACAGUGGUUUUGUGACCACAAAUCCGAGAUGAUAAUAAUUAUUUUAUUAUUAUUAUGAGGUCUAUGAUAUGUCUCUAUGCUUGUGUGAAAAUUUCAUGAAGAAAUUUUAUGUGAAAAGUGCUUAAUUAGACUUUAAGGACUAAAUCAAAUAAUUUGUAAAACUCGUGUUCUAGAAGCAAUUUGCAUGAAAUUGAAUUAGAUUAUUAAUUAGAGGUCCUUAAAGAGCAAUUUGACCAAGUUUUAAAAAUUUGGACAAAAAUGGCUUGGAAGGGUAAAAUUUGAAAGAAUGGUAAAAAGGGCAUUUUGGUCAUUUAGGGGUAAAAUGAAUUAAAAGACAAAAAUUAAAAGCCAAAUGUGUCCAUCUUCCUCCUAUGGUAGUGUGAAUCAAGAGGGGAGCCAUGGCUAGGGUUUUCAAGCUUCCAAGCUCAAUAGUAAGUGAUCCUGAGCCCCUUUUUAACGUUCUAUGUAUUUUUAAAUCCCGAUAACAUGCUCUACUCAUUUCUACCAUUAUUUUGAGCUAGGGUUUAUAUUUAAAAAUUUACCCAUGCAUGACAUGCUAGUAUUUUGAUGUUUAAUGGUAGAAUAUGAAAGAUUAGAGUAUAUUUAACACCUUUUACUAAGUGAUUUUUCAUGAAAAAGCCUAAAAAGGACUAAAUUGAAAAAGGUGUAAAAUAGGUAACUAAAAAUCUGUUUUAAUGAGAAAUGUGGGCUGCCAUAAGCUUGACUAUGGUUCGGCUAGGCUUGGGUAAUCAAGAAAUUGAACAUUUUACGAGCCUAGAGACUAAAUUGAAAAUAUGUGAAAAAUUAGAGGUAAAAUUAUAAAUUUUCCAAAAUAUGAUUUUGGGCCAAUUUUAAUAAUGUGAGUCCUAAAUAGGCUAUAAUUGAAAUGAUAGAUAAAGGAAAUCGAGAUUCGGACUUAAAUCGAGAAAAUACAAGUUUUGGACUAAAAUGAUAAUUUUGCCAUUUCCAUAUUCGAGGUAAGUUUGCGUGAUUUAACGAGCAUAUUAUUCAUGUUAUUAUUUUUAUACAUGAAAUAUAUUUUGCUAUGAUUGUAUUGAAUUUGAUAUUAAUGGAAAUUUGAUGAAAAUUGACAUUUUAAAUGAAAUGAAUAAUUUUCUAUGAAAACUAGGUGAUAUGUUAUUUUUAUUGUAUGGAUUAAUGCUCAAAUAAACAUUAAAGUGUGUAUUCAUGCAUGAAUUAUAAUGUUAAUAGUCAUUGUGAAAUAUUACAUGGGAAAGGUUGUACUAAUGAAAAGUUGAUAAAGUGUCCCGGUUGAAUAAAAAGGGAUAUCCGAUGGAUAUAUCAUUUCUUACAUGAUAUGAGAUCCUGCAUGUGUUGCAGUCAAGGAUUUAGACCAGACAGGUAAUUCAUAUAUCUCAGUAUAGAAAGGAUCUAGCCCGGACAGGUGUUCUUUGAAUAAUCGAGCCUCCCGAAGAAUAUGUGUGCAUUAUGGAUUUAGCCCGGACGGGUAAUCUGAUAGAGGACUGAAUUUAGCCUAGAUUGACAAUUCAGAUCCGAGCUUAUGAGAGCAAUUAUCGUUGAAAGGGAUUUUUCCUGGAGUGGUAAUCCCGACAUUGCUCUAUGAAUUUAUUCUACGGGGGAUUUAGCAUGAACUGGUAAUCCCGCAGUAAGAUGUAAGGUUCGCAGGAGUGCGUAUUGAGAUGAUCACUUGUAUGAAUUGACGGUAAAUGGGCUAUCCAUCGAGAUCCCCGAGAGAUUCAAUGGGAUUAACAUGAGAAAUAAAAAUGGUUGUCAUCUAUGCUUAGAUGAAACUAGUAUGAUGCAUAUGAUUGUCAUGUUUGGAUGAGUGGUUGUGCUAAGAGAUAACACAGGUACAUACUCGAAACCCAUGAACAUGUGUUUGACAUGUGAAAUGAAAAGGACUUGUGGUAAGAAUGCAAAUAGAUGAAUGAUAUAUAUGAGAAUAAUAUUUUAUGGCAAUCUUAUGAUGAACAUCAUUUUGUUGCUCUAAAACUAUUUGGACAACAGCAAUAAUCCAACUUUGAAAAUCCACUAAAAAUUGUGGAAGUCGAAUUAAAUUCUGAAUUAAAUAUGAAAUGAAAGCUUAUUGAGUCUAGUUUCACAUAAAAGAAAUGAUAUAAGAAAAAGAAUUUAAUAUUAUGAGAUAUUCGAAUUCUUGUGAGAUAUAGUCAUAAUGAGUUCGAAAUCCCUAUUCUGACUUGGGAAAAUCACUAUAAAUUGUACAAAAAUAAUUAUGGGUUAGAAUUCAUAUGACUAAUUCCUACAGACAUGAACACUAUCCGAAUCUCAUACUAAGAGAUAAUUAAGUUUUAGUGAAGAGAGGUCGGAACUAUCGGAUAGCGAAACAAGGGAGACUUUAAAGAAUAAAUGGUACUUAUUGGAUAGACCAAAAAUUUUGAAAAUUUUAUGAUAAAAAUAUAUGUGAGUCUAGUUUCUAGAAAAAUUAACGGAUCUUAAUUUGGAGUUCCGUAGCUCCAGAUACAAAUGAUUUAGUGACUAUGACUCAAGAAAACAGCUUGACUGGAUUUUAAUAAAUAGAGAGAAAUUGGAAUAGCAUAUUAAUUCCUUGCUUAUUAUUUUCAUGCGAGCUUACUAAGCUUAAAGCUUACUCCCUCCUUUCCAUUUCUUUUAGUGUUUUUAGGUCAGCUUGGGGCUGGAGAACGUUGGAGGCAACAUCACACUAC